rnacentral:lncRNA from 1 species
CAUCUUGGCACUGUAACUCCCAAAGUAGCGCUCAUCGGUGUUGGGGGUGUGACAUUCAUACUCGCCGGCAUCCCGGGCUUGCAGGUCUGUGAUGUGAAGUAAGGCUGAGUUGCCCUGGAUCCUCUCCACGUAGAUCUUCCCACCGCGGACUCGCUGGGUGUAGAUGGCGUACGGGAAGGAAGAGUCCACCGUGCUAACGAUCUGUACUUCACGCUCAGGAGCAGAGGGCAGAAAGAGAGGCAAACAGAUCCUACCACGGCUGUCAGUUUCCAAGGAGUGACCAGGAGUGGGAAGGCGCGCAGAGUCCCACCAGCUGACAAAGCAGAGAGGGACAGUGUGCAGGAAGAUCUGAAACAAGGUCGGUGCCCUUGGGCUCCUGGCUCUGACUGGCCCACCAAGCCCCUGCCUUCUGGUGUGACACAGCUUUCCAAGGUCACGACUCCUCCUGCUUACCCUCCCCACGUUCCUCACGCUGCAUCCUCUUGCAAGGGCAAAAAUUAAAUACGGAGAUCCAAGUUUCUCAUCCCAUGUCAUUUGCAACGCUUCUUUGGGCAAGGUCUAAGUGUGCCUCACAAGGGUUCAUACACACAUACACCUACAUAUUCAAAUCCUCCAUCCCUGGCUUCCUGCCUCACCAUAAGACGGCACCUUUUCCUGCCA